GGUACCCUUCCUCAGUAUUCCUGUCCUGGUGCACACGCUCAAAAUGGGGUGGCUGAACGCAAACAUCGUCACGUCCUUGAGACUGCUCGGGCUCUUCUUUUAUCUUCUGCUGUUCCCCCGCACUUUUGGGCUGAGGCUGUCUCUACCGCUGUUUAUCUCAUUAAUAUUCAGCCUUCUGUUGCUCUUCAGGGAGGGAUACCAGUUGAUCAUCUAGGUGAUGGUCCAGCUGAUUAUAGUGGUCUACGCCUGUUUGGUUGUGCCUGUUUUGUUCUUCUCCACCCUCAUGAACGCACCAAAUUGACUGCUCAAUCUGUUGAAUGUGUUUUCCUUGGCUACAGUUUGGAGCACAAAGGUUACCGUUGCUGGGACCCUAUUGCUUGA
rnacentral:rRNA from 1 species